GGGCCGGUAGUUCAGUCCGGUUAGAAUGCCUCCCUGUCACGGAGGAGAUCGCGGGUCCGAAUCCCGUCCGGCCCG
rnacentral:tRNA from 1 species